GCCAGCGGCUAUAUCAACCUGCAACUCACAACUGGCAGCCCACUGAAGCUCAACAGGUGUGAGCCUGGCCAGUACCUGGAUGGGAGACUCCUGGGAAAAACUAACGUUGCUGCUGGAA
rnacentral:rRNA from 1 species